UUUUCACGCUGCGAAUCUUCGUCUGAAACCAAUUUUGCUCUUCUAUUGUGCAUCUCUCAAUCACAACGUUCAAUUAAUAGCUCCAAUAUAUUUUUCAUUGUGCAUGAAGCAAGGAAUGGGCUUGUUAGAGAAUUCAUUGUAUAGGCAAUUUGUUCAACACAAUAAUGUGUUGCUUAAGAACAUUGAAAUAUUCCACUUGUAUGAGCUUGAUGGUAUUAGUUCAAACAUUAUGAAGGUAACUUACAGAUCUUAAUUGUGUGUCUAGCUUGAGCUUUAUGAUAUUAAGACUAUAUUUUAUCCUAAUAAUCUAUUGUUCACAACAAAAACUGACCUGCAUAAGAAAUAUGUAGAUUGUUAGAGUAUACCACUAGAAGGAUGGUCAUAAGGGUGUUGGGGUAUUUUGGCUUCAACAAGCCCAAGAUUCUAUUUGUCUUGAUAGGAUUGCCCAACAGUUAUUUGAUUCUGUUGGAAAGUCAAUAUUUGAUGAAAGCUUCAAGCAAUGGGAAGGCAUGAUUGAACUUCUAGGUUCUGAAUCUAAGCCUGUUGGGGGUCUUGAGUUUUUGCACAAGUAUAAGGAUUUCAAGGAAUCCCUUCAGAAGGUAUCUGGUGGAAAAUCAACUGAGCUAGCCAGGCAGGUUGUAGGCUCCCUCAUGCUGCAAUGGACGAUCAUGCACUGUAAACACAAUCUUCUGGAACACAAUCCAGCUCCUGUUUCCCCAAGAAAUUGAGGCAAGAAAAGUAGUUGGCUCCUUAAAUAGUGAGCAAAAAGCUCAAAAAUUAAGUCUUGAAACAAUAUUUUAUGCUAACCUAAGGAAUACAAGCAUACAACCUUCUGGUGGGGCAUCAAGCAUAAACAAUUCAAGGAGGGUUGUGGCACUGACAACAACAACACAGGAGGAUGAGGAUGUUGCAUUGGCUAUAAGGUUCCAGAGAAAUAUUGAUGAACAAAGCCCAAGAACAACUUGAAUGAGGACAAUAAGAAUGAACUAAGUUGCUUAUGUUUUUUAUUUUUUAAUCGAGCAGUAUCAGGCAAUGAACCAACCAAAUGUUGGCAAGCCCAAUACCAAUAAGGAUAAUCCAGAAAACCGUUAGUAAGGUGAAUUCCUUUAUCUUACUAUUGUACAAUCUUAUUAACACACUUUGUAAAAGCAUAGUUUGUCAUUAAAUUUUAAUUUUUUGUAACUAUUAUGAGCUUC